CAGUAGCCGCGGUAACACGGAGGGAGCUAGCGUUGUUCGGAAUUACUGGGCGUAAAGCGCGCGUAGGCGGUUACUCAAGUCAGAGGUGGAAGCCCGGGGCUCAACCCCGGAACUGCCUUUGAAACUAGGUGACUAGAAUCUUGGAGAGGUCAGUGGAAUUCCGAGUGUAGAGGUGAAAUUCGUAGAUAUUCGGUAGAACACCAGUGGCGAAGGCGACUGACUGGACAAGUAUUGACGCUGAGGUGCGAAAGCGUGGGGAGCAAACAGGAUUAGAUACCCGGGUAGUCCCUGUCUCUUAUAA
rnacentral:rRNA from 1 species